UCCCCCGUCGUUCAACGGUAGGACAGCCGGCUGUUAACCGGUCGAUGUUGGUUCGAGUCCAGCCGGGGGAGCCA
rnacentral:tRNA from 1 species